rnacentral:lncRNA from 1 species
GUCUUACCUAGGUAGUCUCUGAGGUAGAGCACACAAUUCCCUGGUGGAAUUUUGUCUCCUACAGCAGUAGGAAUUCAUGAAGUUCUUAUUUAUUCACAGGUAGUGAGUGUGCAUAUGGCAACUACCAUGAAAUAUCUUUGGAAGGAAUGCCAGAUGCAGAUGGAGUAGCCAGCACUCCCUCCCUCAAUGUUCAGGAGCCAUGCUCUCCAGCCAUAUCCAGUGAAGCAUUUACUCCAAAGGAGAGCUCUCCUUACAAAGUUCCCAUCUACAUCCCUGAUGACAUCCCCAUUCCAGCUGAGUUUGAACUUCGAGAGUCAAAUAUGCCCGGAGCAGGACUAGGAAUAUGGACCAAAAGGAAGAUUGAAGUAGGUGAAAAGUUUGGACCUUAUGUGGGAGAGCAGAGGUCAAACCUGAAAGACCCCAGUCAUGGAUGGGAGAGGUGGCGAGCAGCACAGAGGCUCAGAUCGGAACGGAGUAUUUGUACUGACUCCAACAGGAAGAAGACAUAAAGCUUUCCCAGUGUCCUGGAGGGUAAAUAACUCUGAUCCUCAAACAUUAAAACAAUUCGAAUAAAUUCACCAGUUUACGUUAUGUUCCUGCAAAAGUUUUCUGCUCUUCCUUUUCUUUUUGGUACUGGGGAUUGAACGCAAGGCCAUUCCACUGAGCUACAUCCUCAGACCUUUUAAUUUUUGUUAUUUUGAGACAGGGUCUUGCCAAGUAGCACAGUCGCCCAGAUAAAGCUUGAAAUUGCCAUCCUCUUGUCUCAACCUUACAGUGCUGGUAUUACAGGUGUGUGCCACCACACCCAGCUUUACAGCAUAGUGAAAAUGUGUUCAAGUAUCAUGAGAGCCAUACAAUAAAGCAUUUUCAUUUAUUUAUGGAAUACUAACCUUAAAAUACUAUCGUUGCAUUUUGAACAGAUACAUCAUAGUUUUAAGAUAGUAGAUUCAAUUUAACCCUUUUAAAAAUUUAAGACAUGUUGAAAUUUGGGUAUGCUGCCACCAGGUGGUGGUAAACCCUUUGAGUCAUAGGUCAUUGUGCUUUAAAUUCUUUUUAAAAAUUGCUUUAAAUAAAAACAGUAA